AGAGUUUGAUCAUGGCUCAGGAUGAACGCUAGCUACAGGCUUAACACAUGCAAGUCGAGGGGAAACGACAUCGAAAGCUUGCUUUUGAUGGGCGUCGACCGGCGCACGGGUGAGUAACGCGUAUCCAACCUGCCCACCACUUGGGGAUAACCUUGCGAAAGUAAGACUAAUACCCAAUGACGUCUCUAGAAGACAUCUGAAGGAGAUUAAAGAUUUAUCGGUGAUGGAUGGGGAUGCGUCUGAUUAGCUUGUUGGCAGGGUAACGGCCACAAGGCGACGAUCGAGUAGGGGUUCUGAGAGGAAGGUCCCCCANAUUGGAACUGAGACACGGUCCAAACUCCUACGAGAGGCA
rnacentral:rRNA from 1 species